rnacentral:tRNA from 1 species
UGCGGGAUCGUCUAAUGGUAGGACGCCUGGUUCUGGCCCAGGUAGUGGGGGUUCGAGUCCUCCUCCCGCAG